rnacentral:rRNA from 1 species
UACGUAGGGUGCAAGCGUUAAUCGGAAUUACUGGGCGUAAAGCGUGCGCAGGCGGUGAUGUAAGACAGUUGUGAAAUCCCCGGGCUCAACCUGGGAACUGCAUCUGUGACUGCAUCGCUGGAGUGCGGCAGAGGGGGAUGGAAUUCCGCGUGUAGCAGUGAAAUGCGUAGAUAUGCGGAGGAACACCGAUGGCGAAGGCAAUCCCCUGGGCCUGCACUGACGCUCAUGCACGAAAGCUAGGGGAGCAAACAGG